CCUUGCUUGCUUGCAAAAUUUCAACAUCAAUAUGUUGUUUUGUAGAGAACAUAUGAAGAAACUACAGUCUGCUCAAGGUUGGUGUUAAUGUGGGCGUGUCUUACAAUUAAAAGAUCAAAGGUGCGAAAGUUUAGGUAAUUUAGGGUUUUUUCCAAUAACCACAAUCUUUUCUGAAAAUUAUAUUCUUUUGAGUGCUGUUUUUAUUUUUAGACUCAAGUAGAGUGGCUUUGUAAGAUUCUUAGUUCAGCUCUGUAUGAGGAAAAUCCCUUCAGUUCUUCUCCCUUAAAAGCUACCUUUUGUCUGAAUGACUGCCCCAUGCAAUGAGAUGAUUGCCGUAACAAGGACACGCCCACUCUCUGAAAACAAACAACCAAGAGCGACAGAAGCUGAGCAGCCUGAAGCUUCAGCAUUUUGUUCACAGGACCAAUUUGCCAUGGGAGACCCCACCAGUGGGCAAAAGGCCCCCCGACAUCAUAACCCCUGGGAUCCGUGGGACACACAAAUCCUCCACCACAAUAAGGAAGCACCUCAACAUGAUGAGACAGUACACUGCCUUGUGGGGGAGGAGCUGCUGCUGCUGCCAGAAGAGGUUUAAUAUACACUUGGAGGAGAUCAAAGAUAAAGAUCACACUGUUUAAUGACAAAAAGUCUGCAUAUAUGGUACUUUUUACCCAAGUGGACAAAGUUUAUAAUCUUUGCCACAUUAACAGAAAACGGCAGCUACCAUGCAUGGUGAUUAGUUGCUUUUUCAGUUAAUAAUGGUCCAACACCUCACUGAGUUUUUUAGGCUCUUUUUUCUUUAGUUCGUCACCUUGUUCACAAUCCAUAUUCACACAUUAUAUUAAAGCUUAAAGGAACACAGAGAUGUGCUGCAGACACUUUGGUUAACAUCUGGCGUUUUGUUGUUGUCUAUACAGGUAAACGUGUUAACUGUAAGCAUCUGAUGAACCUUAUGAAAGUGAAAAUGCUAAAGUCUGUCUUUUUUCAGUAGUGCUGAAGUCACACACUUUUCCUGGUUAAUGAGGAAGGAGCAGGCAGAUUACCACAGCUAGAUACCAGAGUAGCAUUAAGCUGUCGCAUGUGAAACAUCUCUAUCUUAGUCAUGCAGGCCUAGAGACUUCCUGGAGACCCCCUGGCAACCUAUGGUCAUGGAAAACUGUGUAUUCACCCCACUGGUUGGUAAAUGAUUGAUGGAAUAUUUUGAUUGUCAGUGGGUGAAAUUUGGUUGCAAAGCCAGUGCUACAAUUAAAAAAAGAUCUCCUUGUGAUUGCCUUGGUCUUUCGCAAAUUGCCCAUCUUUGGUGGUGACACCGCUCUAGUGAAACUUGAAAAAAUAAAGUCCAAACGGGACACUUGGAAAGUUCGCUUUUCCAACUUUUAUUUUGAAGACAGACUCCAUUUCCAGUUUGUCGAACUUUUCACAGUUUCAGUACUACUCCGCAAGUAGUUGGUGUGUGUUUGCAGAUAAGUCGGCAUCUUCUAAGUAAGUGACCUAAGCAUUUCCACGACCUCGCUAAUAUCGUUUCCCUAGGCUUAUGUAACUGAGUUCUUAGUUUUGCUGUUAAAUUGUUGUUUUUGUUGUCUCAAGGUAUAUGUAAAUAUUCUUUGGGAUGACGUUCAUGCUGUUAAAAGGAUUUGUACCCUUUAUUUUUUCAAAUAGAAUGAUAUGAUUAUAGCAUGUUGUCCUUUUAUAUCAGUAAAGUUGCUAGAUGGCUGUGUGAACAAUAGCCUCAGACAUUUUGCUGUGUAAAAUAAAAAGUAUAAUA